rnacentral:rRNA from 1 species
UACAGAGGUCUCAAGCGUUUGUUCGGAUUCAUUGGGCGUAAAGGGUGCGUAGGCGGCGCGGUAAGUCGGGUGUGAAAUCUCGGAGCUUAACUCCGAACUGCAUUCGAUACUGCCGUGCUUGAGGACUGGAGAGGAGACUGGAAUUUACGGUGUAGCGGUGAAUGCGUAGAUAUCGUAAGGAAGACCAGUGGCGAAGGCGGUCUCUGGACA